rnacentral:rRNA from 1 species
AACCCACAUCCCUAGUUGCCAGCAGUUCGGCUGGGCACUCUAGAGGGACUGCCCUAGAUAAGCGGGAGGAAGGUGUGGAUGACGUCAAGUCCUCAUGGCCUUACGGGUUGGGCUACACACGUGCUACAAUGGUAGUGACAAUGGGUUAAUCCCAAAAAGCUAUCUCAGUUCGGAUUGUCGUCUGCAACUCGACGGCAUGAAGUCGGAAUCGCUAGUAAUCGCGUAACAGCAUGACGCGGUGAAUACGUUCCCGGGCCUU